GAUCUCGACGGAGAGUUUGAUCCUGGCUCAGGACGAACGCUGGCGGCGUGCCUAACACAUGCAAGUCGAGCGGGGUCCAACCAGUGGCAACACUGGGGAAGACCUAGCGGCGAACGGGUGAGUAACACGUGAGAAACCUACCCCGAAGACUGGGAUAACUCCGGGAAACCGGAGCUAAUACCGGAUGCCCUCACCAAGCCGCAUGGCCAGGUGAGGAAAGGUUAAUUCUGCUUCGGGAGGGUCUCGCGGCCUAUCAGCUUGUUGGUGAGGUAACGGCUCACCAAGGCGUCGACGGGUAGCUGGUCUGAGAGGACGAUCAGCCACACUGGGACUGAGACACGGCCCAGACUCCUACGGGAGGCAGCAGUGGGGAAUCUUGCGCAAUGGGCGAAAGCCUGACGCAGCAACGCCGCGUGGGGGAUGAAGGCUUUCGGGUUGUAAACCCCUUUCAGCAGGGACGAUUGUGACGGUACCUG
rnacentral:rRNA from 1 species